rnacentral:hammerhead_ribozyme from 1 species
GCACUGUUGAGAAGUCCCAUAAUAGGACGAAACGGCCGUCCGGUGC